rnacentral:lncRNA from 1 species
CGUCCGGUCUCUAGUACUGAUCUUAAGAAGAAAGAUUUGGAAUGGUUUGCCUUUUCCAGAAUGGAAAUUUUGCUGUAAUAGCUUGAGAACAGGAGAAAAAAAUAUUUGUCAAUAGGCUAAUCCUAAAGCUUAAGCUACUAGUUGGAAAGCAGUGUCCCCACCACAAGUUUUGUGCUGCUUUUUCCUGAAGAAAUUUUUUAAAGUUUCGUUAUGUGUCAAAACAAUUUUGAUGGUUUCAUCCUACAUUUAGUAGAGGAAAAUAAAAAUCAUCUCCAUACCAGACCAGAUGAAUCUAACAAAAUCUUUUUUUUACCUUGCUGCAAACACUUACAUCCAUGCCACUCAUGAGAGCUGAGCAUUUGCCGUUGUACGUUCCUUGGUCUACUGUUCUCUUCUGUCAUGUAAGAGUGGGCCUUGGGCAUGAAGGCUGAAGAAUUUAGAGGGUUGGACCACAAAAGACAAACGGGAGAUUUUGAGGGCAGAGGGGAAGCCACAGCCAUUUGGCAGUUCUAGUGCAUCAUCAAGGAGUACCUGGCUCCCCUCUCCCCCUCACCUGUUGGCAAGCAUUCUGCCUUCCCCGGGACCUCCUCCAGCUGCUCCA